AAUCAACGCUGGCGGCGUGCCUCAGGCAUGCAAGUCGAACGCGAAAGUUUCCUUCGGGAAGCGAGUAGAGUGGCGCACGGGUGAGUAACACGUAAGUAAUCUACCCUUGGGUGGGGAAUAACAUCGGGAAACCGAUGCUAAUACCGCAUAAUGCAGCGGCUUCAUAUGAAAGACAGUUGUUAAAGCAUUUAUGUGCCUGAGGAGGAGCUUGCGGCAGAUUAGCUAGUUGGUAAGGUAAUGGCUUACCAAGGCGACGAUCUGUAGCCGACCUGAGAGGGUGGUCGGUCACACUGACACUGAAUAACGGGUCAGACUCCUACGGGAGGCAGCAGUCGGGAAUUUUGGCAAUGGGCGCAAGCCUGACCCAGCAACGCCGCGUGAAGGAUGAAGUAUUUCGGUAUGUAAACUUACGUAAAAUA
rnacentral:rRNA from 1 species